GAUGAACGCUGGCGGCGUGCUUAACACAUGCAAGUCGAGCGAAGCACUUUGGAAAGAUUCUUCGGAUGAUUUCCUUUGUGACUGAGCGGCGGACGGGUGAGUAACGCGUGGGUAACCUGCCUCAUACAGGGGGAUAACAGUUAGAAAUGACUGCUAAUACCGCAUAAGACCACGGUACCGCAUGGUACAGUGGUAAAAACUCCGGUGGUAUGAGAUGGACCCGCGUCUGAUUAGGUAGUUGGUGGGGUAACGGCCUACCAAGCCGACGAUCAGUAGCCGACAUGAGAGGGUGACCGGCCACAUUGGGACUGAGACACGGCCCAGACUCCUACGGGAGGCAGCAGUGGGGAAUAUUGCACAAUGGAGGAAACUCUGAUGCAGCGACGCCGCGUGAAGGAUGAAGUAUUUCGGUAUGUAAACUUCUAUCAGCAGGGAAGAAAAUGACGGUACCUGACUAAGAAGCCCCGGCUAACUACGUG
rnacentral:rRNA from 1 species